rnacentral:rRNA from 1 species
GAUGAACGCUGGCGGCGUGCCUAAUACAUGCAAGUCGAGCGAACAGACGAGGAGCUUGCUCCUCUGACGUUAGCGGCGGACGGGUGAGUAACACGUGGAUAACCUACCUAUAAGACUGGGAUAACUUCGGGAAACCGGAGCUAAUACCGGAUAAUAUAUUGAACCGCAUGGUUCAAUAGUGAAAGACGGUUUUGCUGUCACUUAUAGAUGGAUCCGCGCCGCAUUAGCUAGUUGGUAAGGUAACGGCUUACCAAGGCAACGAUGCGUAGCCGACCUGAGAGGGUGAUCGGCCGCACUGGAACGGAGACACGGUCCAGACUCCUACGGGAGGCAGCAGUAGGGAAUCUUCCGCAGUGGGCGAAAGCCUGACGGAGCAACGCCGCGUGAAUGAUGAAGGUCUUCGGAUCGUAAAACUCUGUUAUUAGGGAAGAACAAAUGUGUAAGUAACUAUGCACGUCUUGACGGUACCUAAUCAGAAAGCCACGGCUAACUACGUG